rnacentral:rRNA from 1 species
AUUGAACGCUGGCGGCAGGCUUAACACAUGCAAGUCGAGCGGGGAAGGGUAGCUUGCUACCUAACCUAGCGGCGGACGGGUGAGUAAUGCUUAGGAAUCUGCCUAUUAGUGGGGGACAACAUCUCGAAAGGGAUGCUAAUACCGCAUACGUCCUACGGGAGAAAGCAGGGGACCUUCGGGCCUUGCGCUAAUAGAUGAGCCUAAGUCGGAUUAGCUAGUUGGUGGGGUAAAGGCCUACCAAGGCGACGAUCUGUAGCGGGUCUGAGAGGAUGAUCCGCCACACUGGGACUGAGACACGGCCCAGACUCCUACGGGAGGCAGCAGUGGGGAAUAUUGGACAAUGGGGGGAACCCUGAUCCAGCCAUGCCGCGUGUGUGAAGAAGGCCUUUUGGUUGUAAAGCACUUUAAGCGAGGAGGAGGCUACUGGUAUUAAUACUACCGGAUAGUGGACGUUACUCGCAGAAUAAGCACCGGCUAACUCUGUGCCAGCCGCCGCAGUAACAC